AGGAUUAUAAACAAAGGUUGAUUUUAAGCCAAUAUUUAGAUAUAUUCUAAUAUGCUUGCAAGGUUUACAAUUUAAGCAACGUAGACAUGUUUUAGCAAUCACACAUAGCAAAAAAUAAACUAGACUAGAAAUGAAAAGAAACAAUUAGCACGUAUAUCCCCCUCCCCCUUAGACGAUCCCCAAGUUAUUCAUAUAUAGAGAGAGUUGAGAGUUAUACAAAUUAUUACACAACGAUAAUAAAGUUAAAACUUAUACAAAGACAUAAAUUAGAUGAAUUCGAUUCGUCUAUUGUUUCCCACUCAUGGCGACUCUCCAUAUCUUGAACUUUUGUUCAAACCUGCUAAAAGAUGGCAAAAGAUACAAACAAGUAUAUAUAUGACGGGAUUUAACUAUUUCCCAAGCUGCCUCAAUACACAUAAACUAAAUCAUGGACAUUCAUACUAGAAUUUAAACAAGUAAAGAAAUACACCGCAUAUAGUGUCACACAUAAAGAGGGAAGAGAGGAACUAACCUGGGUGCUUCCUUUUACUCAUUUAAACACACAACGAGAUGCAUAAUGCAAAACAAAAAAAAUAUAUAAAAAAAAAAAUAAACUUAAGGCAAACACUAACCAGUUACGCAGAAUUAAUUAUCAGCAAUGAAGAUAAGCUUAAUCCACUAUUCGACCCGAACACAGCAACACAGAAUUUUUACCGGAAAACAUAAAUCCUUAAAAGUAGGAGUAGAGAGCAAUAUUUUUUAUAUUCAAGAGUAAAGCGUGAGCAAGUUAGGAUGUUAGAGUGUCUAAGUAUGAGAGUAUUCCGUGUGUAAGAGUGAGUGGAAAAGUGUGUAAGAAAAGAACUAGGAGGUCUCUUUAUAUAGUGAAGGGAAGGGCACAUAAUAGAGGAAAAGAAAUAAUUAAGGAGUCAAUUAUAUCAUGCUUUCCUUAAACAAAAGGAGAGCCAAAAUUAGACCUAUUUUUAUUUAUUCUUUUUACCAAAAUAUAAACAAGUAAGAAAUCUAGUUAAGCUUAAUUAAGGUGAGAAAAUAUUCACUAACAUAUAUUUUCCUUGUUAAGAAGGAAGCCAAAAUCAGAUUUUAAAGUAUUAUUUUUUUACCAUAUAUAAAAAAAACGAGUAAGAAAUCUACCGAUUUUAAUUAAGGUAACAAGAUCAGUUUACAGACAGAUGAUAUGUGAAAUCAAGUAAGACAAGUGAUAAUUGAUUCAAAGGGAGUGCAUGAAAAAUUUAUGGCAAUCAAUGGAUAACAUAAGAUACAGGGGAGAUACAUAUUAUAAGGAAAGAAUAAAUAUUGCCCAAAUUAAGUACCAAAUAUUCGCCAAUCCUAUUGUAACAAUAUUCAUUACCAUAAGCAAGAACCUAUUCAAAUUUACAUACCAUAGUAAAACAAUUGGUCAACAUUACUGUAAUAACGUCAAUUUGUCAACAUAUAUAUAAUUAAUCAAAUAAUUAAUGACUAUGUCCUUAGUUUUUUGCAACCUAAACUGACCCACUUACCAAAUAUAUGCAGUAGUUAUAAUAAUAAACAAACAAUUUUAGUACAAUAUUUAAAAUACUAUUACCUUAAUAAAGAGAGCCAGAGAGGGUAAUUUGACUAACUGAGCGAAAUCAGUUAAUCACAAAUGAUUCGUAUUUGCCAUAAGUAAUUUUGAAAAAUGGGUAUUUCAAAUGAUCGAAUCCCCCUUAGACUAAAAUUAAACCACACACCCAAUCUGACAAUGAAAUACGCCCUCAAAUCAGUGUGUAAUCACAAAUACAUGGUAAUUCAAUGCUAAUUGAACUGUAGCAUCAGCUAGCACACGAAAAAUUAAAUUAACAACUAUGACAAUUCAUCUUUUAUGUUUAACAUGUAGAAAUGAUUAACAGAGACAUUUCACAGUACAGAAUCAAAGAGGCAAACAAUGAAAGCAAAGAAUUCUAGAACCUUAACAAACAGGUUGUAGCAUUUCAAUAUUAAGGAAUCCUAUGAUGCUCAAAUUCUCAUGACACUUAGACAUGAACAAAGAGUUAAGAUCUAAGCCUAAGAAUUAAUUCAAAACUCACCUGGAUGGAUCUGUUAAGAUCCAUCUUUUAAUUAACUCGAAAUCUUCAAAAGCUCCACCGGAAUCCGCUGCAGUGCUUUUGUUGUUGUUGUUUCCGAUGGAUUUCACCGGGAUUUUGUCGAAGUAGGUUAGUGGUCUUGACUGGCUGCUGGUUACCUCGAACCCGCCGGAGAGGGGAAAGGCAUGCUGCUGUUUCCGUCGGCUACUGCUGCUCGCUUUUCCAGGCUGCUGGUCGGAGGUCCUCGCCGUUCGCUAGCUGCUGUUGUCACCGGCUGAAGCUGCUGGUUGCUCCAUCUGGCGGGAAGAGAGGAGAAGAGAAGAGAGGCGGAGCAGAAGAGAAGAGGCGACUGUCUCCUCUUUGCCGGCUGGCGAUUCUCGCCGGAGGCGGCGAUCUGGAGAGAUGGAGGGCGGCGCUUAGAGAGGGGAGAGGAGGAGAGUGAAAAAAAUUGUUAGGGUUGGUGUUUUGAUAAUUAAAAUAGGAAAGAAAUAAU
rnacentral:lncRNA from 1 species